UGGCGGAUGGCUUUACACAUGCAAGUCGAACGGCAGCACGGACUUCGGUCUGGUGGCGAGUGGCGAACGGGUGAGUAAUAUAUCGGAACGUAUCCAAUAAUGGGGGAUGACUAAUCGAAAGGUUGGCUAAUACCGCAUACGCCCUACGGGGGAAAGCUAGGGAUCUUCGGACCUGGCGUUAAUGGAGCGGCCGAUAUCUGAUUAGCUAGUUGGUGGGGUAAAGGCCCACCAAGGCGACGAUCAGUAGCUGGUCUGAGAGGACGACCAGCCACACUGGAACUGAGACACGGUCCAGACUCCUACGGGAGGCAGCAGUGGGGAAUUUUGGACAAUGGGCGCAAGCCUGAUCCAGCCAUUCCGCGUGAGUGAAGAAGGCCUUCGGGUUGUAAAGCUCUUUCGCAAGGGAAGAAAACUUAUCCUCUAACAUAGGAUGUGGUUGACGGUACCUUGAUAAGAAGCACCGGCUAACUACGUGCCAGCAGCCGCGGUAAUACGUAGGGUGCGAGCGUUAAUCGGAAUUACUGGGCGUAAAACGUGCGCAGGCUGUUUUGUAAGUCAGAUGUGAAAUCCCUGAGCUCAACUUAGGAACUGCGUUUGAAACUACAAGACUAGAAUAUGUCAGAGGGGGGUAGAAUUCCACGUGUAGCAGUGAAAUGCGUAGAGAUGUGGAGGAAUACCAAUGGCGAAGGCAGCCCCCUGGGAUAAUAUUGACGCUCAUGCACGAAAGCGUGGGGAGCAAACAGGAUUAGAUACCCUGGUAGUCCACGCCCUAAACGAUGUCUACUAGUUGU
rnacentral:rRNA from 1 species